CCUACGGGGGGCAGCAGUGAGGAAUAUUGGUCAAUGGGCGGAAGCCUGAACCAGCCAAGUAGCGUGCAGGAUGACGGCCCUACGGGUUGUAAACUGCUUUUAUACGGGAAUAACGCGCCUUACGUGUAGGGCUUUGCAUGUACCGUAUGAAUAAGGACCGGCUAAUUCCGUGCCAGCAGCCGGGGUAAUACGGAAGGUCCGGGCGUUAUCCGGAUUUAUGGGGUUUAAAGGGAGCGUAGGCGACAGUGCAAGCGUGCAGUGAAAUGUCCGGGCUCAACCCGGGCCUUGCAGCGGAAACUGGCGUGCUUGAGUGCGCGGAAGGCAUGAGGAAUGCGUGGUGUAGCGGUGAAAUGCAUAGAUAUGACGAAGAACCCCGAUUGCGAAGGCAGCUUACGGCAGCGGAACUGACGCUGAGGCUCGAAAGCGCGGGUAUCGAACAGGAUUAGAUACCCGAGUAGUC
rnacentral:rRNA from 1 species